rnacentral:rRNA from 1 species
UGGUGGAGCGAUUUGUCUGGUUAAUUCCGUUAACGAACGAGACCUCGACCUGCUAAAUAGUACUAGUUAUUCAUUGGAUAAUCUAGGCACUUCUUAGAGGGACUAUCGGUGGUGUACCCGAUGGAAGUUCGAGGCAAUAACA